GACGAACGCUGGCGGCGUGCUUAACACAUGCAAGUCGAACGGUAAGGCCCUUCGGGGUACACGAGUGGCGAACGGGUGAGUAACACGUGGGUGAUCUGCCCUGCACUUUGGGAUAAGCCUGGGAAACUGGGUCUAAUACCGAAUAGGACCAUGGACUUCACGGUUUGUGGUGGAAAGCUUUUGCGGUGUGGGAUGGGCCCGCGGCCUAUCAGCUUGUUGGUGGGGGUAAUGGCCUACCCAAGGCGACGACGGGUAGCCGGCCUGAGAGGGUGACCGGCCACACUGGGACUGAGAUACGGCCCAGACUCCUACGGGAGGCAGCAGUGGGGAAUAUUGCACAAUGGGCGCAAGCCUGAUGCAGCGACGCCGCGUGAGGGAUGACGG
rnacentral:rRNA from 1 species